rnacentral:rRNA from 1 species
UACGGAGGGUGCAAGCGUUAUCCGGAUUCACUGGGUUUAAAGGGUGCGUAGGUGGGUUGGUAAGUCAGUGGUGAAAUCCCCGAGCUUAACUUGGGAACUGCCAUUGAUACUAUCAGUCUUGAAUACCGUGGAGGUCAGCGGAAUAUGUCAUGUAGCGGUGAAAUGCUUAGAUAUGACAUAGAACACCUAUUGCGAAGGCAGCUAACUACGCGAAUAUUGACGCUGAGGCACGAAAGCGUGGGGAUCAAACAGG